rnacentral:misc_RNA from 1 species
CAACAGGGAUUGCCCUAGUAACGGCGAGUGAAGCGGCAACAGCUCAAAUUUGAAAUCUGGCUCUCGGGCCCGAGUUGUAAUUUGUAGAGGAUGCUUUUGGCGCGGUGCCUUCCGAGUUCCCUGGAACGGGACGCCAUAGAGGGUGAGAGCCCCGUCUGGUUGGAUGCCAAACCUCUGUAAAGCUCCUUCGACGAGUCGAGUAGUUUGGGAAUGCUGCUCUAAAUGGGAGGUAUAUGUCUUCUAAAGCUAAAUACCGGCCAGAGACCGAUAGCGCACAAGUAGAGUGAUCGAAAGAUGAAAAGAACUUUGAAAAGAGAGUUAAAAAGUACGUGAAAUUGUUGAAAGGGAAGCGCUUGUGACCAGACUUGGGCUUGGUUGAUCAUCCAGGGUUCUCCCUGGUGCACUCUUCCGGCCUAGGCCAGCAUCAGUUCGCCUCGGGGGAUAAAGGCGCCGGGAAUGUGGCUCCCUCCGGGGAGUGUUA